CGGCCCUACGAGUUGUAAACUGCUUUUGUACCGGAAUAAACCUCAAUUCGUGGAUUGAGCUGAAUGUACGGUAAGAAUAAGGAUCGGCUAACUCCGUGU
rnacentral:rRNA from 1 species